rnacentral:lncRNA from 1 species
UUUUAGAAAGUAGGUAGAUUCAAAUUAUCACAGUGCGUUCCAAAUAACUGCAGUAGAAAAAGCAAAGCUUUAGGAAUAUGAUUGUGCAAACUGUCCAGAAAGCAUCAAGAACUAUGCUAUACUAUAAGGUUCAAACACAGACAGGCUGACAGGUAUGCAAAGUGCCUCCUGACUUCAUCAGAUACUGAACUAUGCCUUGACCUUGGGGGAUGAGUCUGGCAGCUGUAGAAGAUUUCUGAUUACUCUGAGGUGUGACCUCAGGCCUCUCUCUCAUCACUAGGACUUUCUCACUAACAAUGCCACAGAUCUUCCCACUCUACAUAAUGGCCUCAGAAUCUAGGCCCCAGCCCUGCUUCUUCCUUUUCAGUCCUUGCUCUUCUUUCUCAACCACGACAUAUAAGUGAAACAGAAAGCUAUCUUAUGCUCCCAACUUGUUCCUUCUAGUCUUUUUUAUAUGGUGGUGACUCUCCUUUUCUGUGCUGUCUCUGAAGCACCAUCAGUUGGCUUCUUAUAUCACUACCAUUGUAGCAGACAACUUUUGGAAACAUAAUGCUAUUGCCUGUGGGAUAGCCACAUUUUUAGAACACUAAGGACUAGUCCCUGCUCCUCCAAAUCACUCCCUAAAUGGCCAGUCUGGGCCUCAGAACUUACAAGCAAAGAGAAGUGACUCAGGCUUGCCAUCUAGUGGCAAAUACUAAAUAGACACCCUUAGCAGAAUGCCCUCCUUACUUUCAUUCUUGGGUCAUCAACAAGUCAUGAAUCUGUAAAUAAUAGAAUUAGAUGCUAAACACCAAUUUGAAAAGCUUAAAGGGAUGUAUUUUUGUAAUUUUAAAUAACACACAUUUCUCAAGUAUUUUACUCAGAAUUUGGACUAGAAUUUAAAAUAAAUUUUGAUAGUUCAAAAGUGUUUCUUUGAACUAUUUCUUACAUCUCGAAGUGCCUAUGUAAGGCUUGGCUAAAAUAGCUAUUGUCAUGUCACCAGACCUCAGAAUAGAAGAAGCCAGCAUCCCAUGAUUCUUGGUAAAAAAACAUCCAGUGCUUGGAAAACAGUGCACUAGCUGAAAUGUAAUAGCCUAAGUAUGUAACUCCUAGGAGAAAAUGUCCUUGGUGUAGCCAUCCCAACUUUUACCCAGUCAGAGCCUCAUAUGCAUCAAAGUCAUUUUUAUUCUCUUAACACACACUUACAGCUCUGCGUUUCUAGGAUGCAGAAAACAUAGGACCACAUUUGAUGGGGGCGGGAGUCCACACUGGAUGAACUGAUUGAAAAAGUUCAAAGUUCCUAGUUUUCACGAAUAGUUCAGUAUAAACCUCCAAGCAGUGUAAGCUAUGGCUGGUUGUAAUGCUAAACUGAAUCCCUGGGUGGAACGCUGUACUUAAUUACAAGAAAAGAGACUUGAGGAGUUGUGCUGUGGACCCCAUUUCUUUGACUCCUCACAGUAGCUUUUGUAAUUCAUGAAUUUGUCUUAUUCCUCAAAUCCGCCCUCCCCCCACCCCCGAGUGUGACCUGAGAUGAUGUUGCCACUCAUCAAUGUUUUAUAAGUUGAAUAUUAACUGAAAUUCCUCAGAUCUGACCUUAAAGAAUCUAUACAAGGCAGACAUUGCUCUGUAAGGAAGGAUGGGUGGUGGUGGCACACAUGCCUUUAAUCCCAACACUUGAUAGACAGGUUCAGGGCCAGCCUGGUCUACAUAGUGAGUUCCAGGAUGGCCAGAGCUACACAGAGAAACUCUAUGUUAAAAAUCAAAACAAACAGCAACAUCAAAAAGCUUUCUGUGGAAAGAAUGACUAUAAUACUAUAAUACUAUAAUAUAAUAUAUAAUAUAUAAUAUAAUACUAUAGUAUGGCCUCCAACUUUAGCCUGAAAAGAAUGAGUUUUCUUUUCACUCCAACAUUAUUCUGUGCUCUCGGUUAUUUUCAUGUCAUUUUUAUAGAAAACAGAAACACACUGUAAAUAUUAUUGAAUGGUAAAGAAGGAAGAAAAACUGUACAAGCAUGAACUCAUAUAUUCCCAGUCUUAUAGCAGCCAGAGUUGUUUUAGCUUGAAGAGCAGAGGUCAGAGUGCAGCUGUGAGACAUCAGUCCUCACAUAUGCCACAUAUGUUGACAUAGGGUACCAAGUCUCUGAUGCUAUGCUGUGCAUUGCCAGCUUCAGGACAGUUCUAACCCUGCCUCCCAUCUUUCUAUGGAAGUGCUAGGGUCACAGAUGCAUACCACCUCAUUCAGCUUUUCACACUGCUUUCAGGGAUUGAAGCAGGUUAUUAAGCUUAUGUGACUAACACUAUUACCCAUUAAGCCAUCUCCCCAGGCUCCAAGUCUCUUUAUCUAAGUAGCAAAUAAACUCUCAACUAUAUGGUGUUUUAUGGCACACUUGACAGAUAGACUAUGGACUCCCUUGAUUCAACUAACUCAGACAGAUUUGGCAAAGCCAGAAGCCAGCAUCUUAUUAUCCAGUCAGAGCCAACAUCCUUAUCCCUGAUCUUGAGUCUUGUCUCUUGACUUGGUUGGAAUUUUAAAUUUCACAGCGCUGCCCUGGGGAUGAGAGGACCGGGAUUCUAUUCUUAGUGUAAUUAGUGGCCUUGAACAGAUGAUCUCAUGACAGGGUCUCCCCCUUCACUGUAAACUGAGAAGGUUAGCUAGAUGACCCCAGAGGCUCUUUUUGGCUCUAAAUUUGGUGACUCUGGAAACACCUGCUCAUGCCAUUUAUGUGUUCAGUGUCUUUCUUCUACUUUUCCAAAAUGUUCUAACUCAUGGCUAUUGUUAUCAUACAUACAAACGUUUUUAAACCUUUUUUUUUAUAAUUUGCUGUAUUGUUUCUUAAUGGUAGCUGGUCUUUCUCUAUUAACUCUUAUUAAGUAUUGUGUAUAUUCUGUUCCACUUUGAAAUUGGGUUAGCAGGCAUGCAGUUGUGAGUAAAACUAUUUCUAAAAUGGAGACCAAUAAUUUGGGUGUGUUUGUUAUUUUGAGAUGAAUUCAAAUGUUCAAAUGGCUUACAAAUCAUCUGCAUUACACAAUAAAUGACGUGUUUUCUAU